UACGGAGGGAGCUAGCGUUGUUCGGAAUUACUGGGCGUAAAGCGCACGUAGGCGGCGAUCUAAGUCAGAGGUGAAAGCCUGGAGCUCAACUCCAGAACUGCCUUUGAGACUGGAUUGCUAGAAUCCGGGAGAGGUGAGUGGAAUUCCGAGUGUAGAGGUGAAAUUCGUAGAUAUUCGGAAGAACACCAGUGGCGAAGGCGGCUCACUGGACCGGCAUUGACGCUGAGGUGCGAAAGCGUGGGGAGCAAACAGGAUUAGAAACCCGGGUAGUCC
rnacentral:rRNA from 1 species